CAGGACGAACGCUGGCGGCGCGCCUAACACAUGCAAGUCGAACGAGCGAGAGAGAGCUUGCUUUCUCGAGCGAGUGGCGAACGGGUGAGUAACGCGUGAGGAACCUGCCUCAAAGAGGGGGACAACAGUUGGAAACGACUGCUAAUACCGCAUAAGCCCACGGCUCGGCAUCGAGCAGGGGGAAAAGGAGCAAUCCGCUUUGAGAUGGCCUCGCGUCCGAUUAGCUAGUUGGUGAGGUAACGGCCCACCAAGGCGACGAUCGGUAGCCGGACUGAGAGGUUGAACGGCCACAUUGGGACUGAGACACGGCCCAGACUCCUACGGGAGGCAGCAGUGGGGAAUAUUGCACAAUGGGGGAAACCCUGAUGCAGCGACGCCGCGUGGAGGAAGAAGGUCUUCGGAUUGUAAACUCCUGUUGUUGGGGAAGAUAAUGACGGUACCCAACAAGGAAGUGACGGCUAACUACGUGCCAGCAGCCGCGGUAAAACGUAGGUCACAAGCGUUGUCCGGAAUUACUGGGUGUAAAGGGAGCGCAGGCGGGAAGACAAGUUGGAAGUGAAAUCUAUGGGCUCAACCCAUAAACUGCUUUCAAAACUGUUUUUCUUGAGUAGUGCAGAGGUAGGCGGAAUUCCCGGUGUAGCGGUGGAAUGCGUAGAUAUCGGGAGGAACACCAGUGGCGAAGGCGGCCUACUGGGCACCAACUGACGCUGAGGCUCGAAAGUGUGGGUAGCAAACAGGAUUAGAUACCCUGGUAGUCCACACCGUAAACGAUGAUUACUAGGUGUUGGAGGAUUGACCCCUUCAGUGCCGCAGUUAACACAAUAAGUAAUCCACCUGGGGAGUACGACCGCAAGGUUGAAACUCAAAGGAAUUGACGG
rnacentral:rRNA from 1 species